AGGAGUGUAGCUCAGUUGGUAGAGCACCGGUCUCCAAAACCGGGUGUCGGGAGUUCGAGUCUCUCCACCCUGCCA
rnacentral:tRNA from 1 species